rnacentral:lncRNA from 1 species
CACUCUUUGGAAUUCGAUCAUGAACCCGAACAAAAGGAUUACAUAUACUAGAAUUUGGAAGUCUCAGUAGUAUAUAAGGUUAGCGGUGCAUGCUGCCAACUUAAUUAGCUUGCUGCUGAAGGUCCAUAGCCCGCUGUGCCGGAUGAAUCGAAGGGAAUUCAAAGUCUAGUAGAAUUGGACGUUGGAAGUGUAGACGGCAUCGGGUCUCCAGUUCGCCGGGAUGACGUCUUUGGCGAUGACCUUCUUGCCGGACUCGCUGGUGAGGCGGAUGGAGAAGGGGCCCUUGAGCGCCUUGGCAGUGUCCAUCCUCCAGAUGGCGCCCCAAGAGAGCUUCAUGGGCUUCCACUCAGCCGACAACUUGUCCUGGAUUUCCAUCAGCACGAUGUCGCCGUCGUCCGCCACAUACUUCACCAGCACGGCCAGGUAGUUGGGGUUGCAGCCCUUCUCGAUGUGGAACACGAUCUUCUGCCCGGCGGGGUACUUGCAUCGCACCCUGCAGGAGAGGAGGUUCAUUCAACAUGCAUUAUCUUCUGUCCUGUCCACCAAGAUAUACGAUGCAUGAAUUACUAUGUACCUUCUGAACUCGACGUCCAUGAUGCCGCAGUGGCGAAUCUUGUCGUUGAGCCCGGGCUUUGCCAGGGAGCCGAAGGCCUUGCCGCUCAAGUCGAAGUGGUAGGGAGCGAUAGGCUCGUAGUUCAUGUCAGUGAUGUACACCGUGACUGGAUUGCCCGAGCACUCAGGUUUUUCCUUGCAUCUCACCUGAAGAGUAAAUUAAUUAAGCAGUUAGCUAGAUAUGUCCAUGCAUGCAAACUAAUUAAUGCAUGCUUAUAUAUGCACCUCGUAGCAUGAGCCGCAGCCCUUGCCGUCCUUGAAGAUGGGGACGUUGCCGCACGCCGUCAUGCCGCUGUAGGGUGGCAGGUUCACGUUCUUGAUCCCGCACGCACCGCCUGCGCACCGUUUUAAUCGCAUCACAUUACAUGAAGGAGGAGUAUAAACAUGUAUCCCGCUCGUACCGUUGUCAGGAGCGCCGGCACCGUUGGGCUGACCGUACCAGGUGGCCCUAGCGGUGAGCCACUUGCCGUUGUAGUUGGUGGUGAUGUUGGGGCCGGGUGGCACCUUCGGGGGCCCGCACGACCCGCCGGCGACGAGCGCCGCAAGGACGGCGCCCACGACCAUGAUGUUAUUAACGAGGGAUCCCAUCGUCGCGCUCACCUGUGUUAUUCGAAAUGCCGCUCUGUGUGUGGUUGAUAGACGACGGUGCUGGGAUAGCUACUUAUAGGGAGGACGGGUGGCUCAGCAGAGAGUUCGCCGGCGACGCAUGCAGCGGCCGGCCGUUAGCGCCUGACGGACGACGAUGCGAUGUGCGGGCUUCACGUAGGCCGCUGCAUGCUCUAGGGCUGCCCGGGCUUACCGGUGGUUAGUUUAUUUCACCAUGAUCGGGCCUAAUCGAUCCGCAUAAGAACACUGUGACGAUCGAACAUAAUAUUUGUCAGCACAUCAAUACAACUCCUUAGUUAGACUGUGAGCCCCCUAAUAAAGCCUAAAAGGCCAAACUCAGGCUCAACACACACUAUAGAAGAAGAACAUGCAUGCUUCCUGAUCUGUCCUUUAAUAAUUUUAGUUCUUGUUUCCUAAUUGUUGACGCUUUUUCAGACCAAACACUAACUAACCUUAAAGCAUGCGUGCAUCGUGGAAGAUCUUAAAGACUUCUCUGUGAGCUUGGCAAACCGUCUAUUUUAGAUCACCAGACUGGACCGUCCAUGAUGUCCCACAGAGCUCCGGGAAAAAACAUAAAUCCCGCCUCCCAGGAGACACUACUGGAGACGGCUUCUUUGUCAAGUCCAAAAGGCAGCAAAGAGCCCUCAGUGAACCAAACGUUGGCAACGGUCUCUUUGUCGAGUACUUUCUAUCGGGCACUCAGUAAAGUCUUUACCGAGUGCCAACUGGUACACGACAAACAAAAGACAUCGUGACGAUGACAGAGCCUUUGCUGAGCAUCCGAGUUCCUCGCUUAGUGGCACUCGGCAAAGAAAGCUUCUGUGAGGCCCAGUCGCAGUUCCAAUGUCGAGUGCUUGGGAUGGAACUCGACAAAGGAGCCUAGUUUGCCGAGUGUCUUGGCCAUAGCACGCGGUAAAGCAAGUUUCCCUAUGUCUAUGUAUGUUUUUCUACCGAGUUCUAUGACCAUUGCACUCAGCAAAGGCACCCUUUGCUGAGUGCAAUGCUCGUCAAAGUGAUCAAGGACCCCUUUUUAUUUGUUUUUAAUAUUUCGUCCAAACAAACAUAAGAUAUUAUCAUAAACAUUGAUGCCUAGAUGUCCUUCACAUGAAAUCAUAGAACCUCAAUGUAGACGGGCUAGGUUUCUACACAUAGCGCGUGACAACUUUCAUGAAACAAUCUCAAAUUUUUAUUAGAGUCUCUACAUAUGAUAUCAUGACAUGUCAACAAGUUUCAUGAUUUUCUGACUUUGUUUUUGUUUUAUACAAUUUUAAAACAACUUGAUCACAAGUCCGCAAUCAUGUUUUGUGAGAAUGGUGUUCGAAAAUUCUCGCAUGUUCCUGAAAUAGAUCAUAACUUGUGCUAAAUAACAUGAAUGUCAUUUUUGUAUUCACUGUUUUCCAUUUUUCAAGUGGCUUGUAGUUCAAAUCUGAAUUAUCCAAAGAAAUCCAAUUAAGCAAACUAAAUCUGAUAGUUAUAGCAAACACUUUUAUAAUUGUGCCAAAAUUGAACAAAUAGGUCUAUAUAUUGUAGAAACACACCACAAAAAGUUUGGGGAAAAAGAAAAAACAAAUAUACUUUGUCGAGUGUCAAGGAAAGACACUCGGCAAAACAUAGGUUUACCAAGUGUUUGCCCAGUGACACUCGACAAAAAAGAUAUUUUGUCGUGUGUCAACGCCUGACACUCGCGAAGUUAAUAGCCAUCAACUAUAGAUGGCUGCUGACGGUCCUUUGCCGAGGGUCGCAUUUCGCUGAGGGUUUGACACUCAGCAAAGUCUUCUUUGCCGAGUGUCUUUUUACGCCGAGUGUUUCUCCCUCGGUAAACAAGGUCUUUGUCGAGAGUCUUAUUUCGCCAAGACUGGCACUCGAUAAAGAAUGCUUUGUCGAGUGCUCGAUAAAGUGCACUCGGCAAAGAGCUAGAUUUCGAUAGUGCCAGUAGCUAGAUUUCACUAUGAUGAUUGCGAGCUAAUCCGUGAGUGAGAAACAAAAUGCAUAAUACUUAGUCCUUGACUCACUCAUGUGAUACUACAUCAAACAUUUGCUUGUCAUAGAUUAAUUAGAAUAAUUUAUAUCAUUUUUAGUCUUCACAUGUAUAAUUAGUUUUGUAGUUAUACUAUAUUUGAUGCUCAUGAUUCAUAAUCCAACGUACACAUGCACUAAGCUUUAGUAAAAAACCAAACACCCCAUUAGUCAAUGAGCGCAACUCGAAGAAUUUAGGCUACGGUUAGCUGAUCGUGCAUCAACGAAUAAGGUCGUGCAAAACACGGUUUUGCAUUGUAGACAAUACUGUUUGUCGAGAGGAAAUUAAAAUGAGAAAUGUAGAUUAAGAUGCUGGAGAUAGUCUUAGGAGUCAUUUGAUACUUUUGCUUUCAGGAGAGUCUCCAUUUGUUCUAUGCUUAUGGAUGGAGAUCCUUACUUGAUAGGUCAAAAGAGAUAGCAACUUAAUUUUUGGGAUGGAAAGAGAUCGUAGUAUGAAGUGGUACAUUGCAUGCUUUAAUAAAUUAAUUUUAAAUAUGUCACUCAAUUUUUAUAAAAUUAGAUAGCUAAUUUAUUUAGAUAUUACCAUAUAACAUCCAAAUAAAUUAGCUAUCUAAUUGUGCAAAAAGUUGAAUGAUAUAUUUCUAGUUGACCCUUUUGUUGUUAGUAUGAUUGUUAUGUCAAGAGAUGAGCAAACAGGAAGACCAACCAAUUUGCUUGUCCACCAAAAGCCCGUGGAGAAAUUUUCCAUGCAGUUCAGCCCAAGAAACAUACAAUAUCGAUGAUAGGAGAAUCGCUAAGAGGACUAAACUCUAAUUUAGCAAGUUGUUAAAUAUAUGUUAGGAACAAAAAUAACCUUAGUCUACAACAGUUUUCAAUUUUUAGGUUAUUAAAUAUUUUUAAAUAGGGAUAUUCAUGGUGUGAUUGGUGAGCAAAACAGGCUAUUGGGAGUGCAAAACAACUCCCCAAGUUUAUGGAGUAAAUAGGGAUAUUUAGUAAGUUAGUACAUUUAGGGAUCUCAUUCAAGAAACAGUUGGAGCAUGAUUUUUUGACGAUCGAACAUAAUAUUUAUGAGCACAUCAAUACAACUCCUUAGCUAGACUGUGAGCCUCCUAAUAAAGCCUAAAAGGCCAAACUCAGGCUCAACACACAUAUAGAAGAAGAACAUGCAUACCUCCCGAUUUGUCCUUUAAUAAUUUUAGUUCUAGUUUCCUAAUUGUUGAUUCUUUUUCGGACCAAACACUAACUAACCUUAAAGCAUGCGUGCGUCGUGGAAGAUCUUAAAGACUUCUCUGUGGACUUGGCAAACCGUCCAUUUUAGAUCACCAGACUGGACCGUCCAUGAUGUCCCACAUAGCUCUGGGAAAAGAACAUAAAUCCCGCCUCCCGGGAGACACUACUGGAGACGGUUUCUUUGUCAAGUCCAAAAGGCAGCAAAUAGCCCUUAGUGAACCAAACGUCGGCAACGGUCUCUUUGCCGAGUACUUUCUAUCGGGCACUCAGUAACGUCUUUACCGAGUGCCAACUGGUACACGACAAAGAAAAGACAUUGUGACGAUGAUAGAGCCUUUGCUGAGUGUCCGAGUUCCUCGCUUGGUGGCACUCGGCAAAGAAAGCUUCCGUGAGGCCCAGUCGCAGUUCCAAUGUCGAGUGCCAAGCACUCGACAAAGGAGCCUAAUUUGUUGAGUGUCUUGUCCAUAGCACGCGGUAAAGCAAGUUUCCCGAUAUCUAUGUAUUUUUUUCUACCGAGUUCUAUGACCAUUGCACUCAGCAAAGGCACCCUUUGUUGAGUGCAAUGUUCGUCAAAGUGAUCAGGGACCCCUUUUUAUUUGUUUUGAAUAUUCCGUCCAAACAAACAUAAGAUAUUAUCAUAAACAUCGAUGCCUAGGUGUCCUUUACAUGAAAUCAUAGAACUUCAAUGUAGACGGGCUAGGUUUCUACACAUAGCGUGUGACAACUUUCAUGAAACAAUCUCAAAUUUUUAUUAGUCUCUACAUACGAUAUCAUGACAUGUCGACAAGUUUCAUGAUUUUCUGACUUUGUUUGUGUUUUAUACAAUUUUAAAACAACCGGAUCGCAAGUUCGCGGUCAUGUUUUGUAUGAACAGUGUUCGAAAAUUCCGGUCUAUUCCUGAAAUAGAUUAACUUGUGCUAAAUAACAUGAAUGUCAUUUUUGCAUUCGUUGUUUUCCAUUUUUCGAGUGACUUGUAGUUCAAAUCUAAAUUAUCUGAAGAAAUUCAAUAAAACAAAUGAAAUCUGAUAGUUAUAGCAACACUUUUAUAAUUGUGCCGAAAUUGAACAUAUAGGUCCAUAUACUGUAGAAACACACCUCAAAAAGUUUGGGGAAAAAAGAAAAAAACCAAAUAUACUUUGUCGAGUGUCAAGGAAAGACACUGGGCAAAACAUAGGUUUGUCGAGUGUUUCCCGGUGACACUCGGAAAAAAAGAUAUUUUGUCGUGUGUCAACGCUUGACACUCUGCGAAGUUAACGGACGUCAACUAUCGACGGCUGCUGAUGGUCCUUUGCCGAGAGUCUUAUUUCGCCGAGAGUGACACUCGGCGAAGAAUGCUUUGUCGAGUGCCCGAUAAAAUGCACUAGACAAAGAGCCAGAUUUCGGUAGUGCUAGUACCUAGAUUUCACAAUUAUAUAUGAUUGCGAGCUAAUCCGUGAGUGAGAAACAAAAUGCAUAAUACUUAGUCCAUGAUUCACUCAUGUGAUACUACAUCAAACAUUUGCUUAUCAUAGAUUAAUUAGAAUAAUUUGUAUCAUUUUUAGUAUUCAUCUGUGUAAUUAGUUUUAUAGUUAUACUAUAUUUGAUACUCAUAAUUGAUAAUCCAAUGUACACAUGCACUAAACUUUAGUAAAAAACAUAAACACCCCAUUAGUCAAUGAGCGCAACUCGAAGAAUUUAGGCUACGGUUAGCUGAUCGUGCAUCAACGAAUAUGGUCGUGCAAAACACAGUUUUGAAUUGUAGACGAUACUAUUUGUCGAGAGGAAAUUAAAAUGAGAAAUGUAGAUGAUUAAGAUGCUGGAGAUAGUGUAAGGAGUCAUUUGGUACUUUUGCUUUCGGGAGAGUCUCCAUUCGUUCUAUGCUUAUGGAUGGAGAUCCUUACUUGAUAGGUCAAAAGAGAUAGCAACUUAAUUUUUGGGAUGGAAAGAGAUCGUAGUAUGAAGUGGUACGUUGCAUGCUUUAAUAAAUUAAUUUUAAACAUGUCACUCAAUUUUUAUAAAAUUAGAUAGCUAAUUUAUGUAGAUGUCACCAUAUAACAUGUAAAUAAAUUAGCUAUUUAAUUGUGCAAAAAGAUGAAUGAUAUAUUCCUAGUUGACCCUUUUGUUGUUAGUAUGAUUGUUAUGUCAAGAGAUGAGCAAACAGGAAGACCAACCAAUUUGCUUGUCCACCAAAAGCCAGUGGAGAAAUUUUCCAUACGGUUCAGCCCAAGAAACAUACAAUACCGAUGACAGGAGAAUCGCUAAGAGGACUAAACUCUAAUUUAGCAAGUUGUUAAAUAUAUAUUAGGAACAAAAAUAAUCUUAGUCUACAACAAUUUUCAAUUUUUAGGUUAUUAAAUAUUUUUAAAUUAAAUUUAUCAUUUUUAGUUUAAAUCAUUUUUGUGCACGAGUGCUUUAAUGGCAAACAAAGAGAUUUUCAUGGUGUGAUUGGUGAGCAAAACAGGCUAUUGGGAGUGCGAAACAACUCCCCAAGUUUAUGGACUAAAUAGGGAUAUUUAGUAAGUUAGUACAUUUAGGGACCUCAUUCAAAAAACUAUUGGAGCAUGAUUUUUUGUUACUAAGCCUAUCUGUAGUACAAAUUUCUCCACAUCAUUACUCUAUACCACUAUUUACAGUCUAGUCAACAAUAUUCCUUACUCUAUAUCACGGUCCUCUGCAUUCAUAUUCCUUUAUAUAUUCCUUCUAUAUCAACUACCACAUAUUAUAUUCAUCUUAGUCUAUCUAUCAUAUUCUUUUUCAAGCUACCAUAUAUAAAUUGUGUGUGAACAAAGCCGGUAGCGAAGGAAAUAGCUUACGCUUUGUAUGGGAGCCAUACCGGAACAGGUAGCACACACCACUGCAGACCAAUGCUCUCUAUAUUUGCGUUGGGGGAAUUGUAGCGAAUGUUGGUGCGGAUAGCCUAACACCCUAAAUUAAACUUAGAGUGUUUUUUGGAAACUAGUGGAGAUGCUCUAACAAUACUAUCUACUAGACCUCAUAUCAACAAUUUAGGUAAAACAACUAGCUCCAAUAGACCUUUUAGUAGAUCAAUUUAUAUUCUCCCGCCACUCAUUCCUGUUAUUGAGGUGUUUGCAAUUUCACAUCACCGGUAGUGUGCUUCACUACUAUGUCAUCGGGCCCACAGAUCAUAGACACAAAGGGACCCACAAAUCAUAGGCACAUAUGUAUAAUAGCAAAGAGGCAACACAUGUGGGUUGCAAAAUUACAAAUAUUCCCCUGUUGUCCCCUUACUUGAGUCAUAUGUCUUUGUCCCCACUUGACUCCACUUGGCACCCGCAGCCUCGACCAUCCAACUAAGUGGUCCUGACAUCCCCUAUCUUUACUAGCGGUGAAAACGGGUCAGAUAUACUAGGCCGAUAUCAAAUAUAGAUAGUAUGAAUAUCCAUUUUUUAGGAUACAUGUACAAAUACUUUUAUACCCUAAACGGAUACGAGUAGUACUCGGAUAAUGUAGAUUUAGUUUCAGAUCAGAUUCGAAGCCAAAACUACACACUAAAUAUCCAGAUAUUCGGGUCAGAUACGGGUUUCUAGGCUUGGGUACCCGUUUUUUAUUUCUCUAUAUAAUAGUUUUAUAAAAUCAUAACAUUUGCAUAUGGACUAAGAUGAAGAUAAAGUUUGUAUAAAGAAUUAUAGAGCUCGUAGAGUUCUACAACUUUGUAGUACAUCACAUUUUUGUUUGAACACAUCUUCAUGUCAAGAUCAUUGAAAUAAUGUCUAAAUUUAUAUUAAAGUAACAAACUAUACAUCACAUGUGUAACUUCAAUACUCCAUAGCUUAUUAAUAGACUAUAUAUUACAUAUGUUGGACUAUAUAUCUGUCGGGGACCAUAAUUAGGGGUACCCUCAAGACGCCUAAUUCUCAGCUGGUAACCCCCAUCAGCAUAAAGCUGCAAAGGCCUGAUGGGCAUGAUUAAGUCAGGGAUCAGUCCACACGAGUGACUCGAUCACGCUUCACCCGAGCCUAGCCUCGGCCGAAGGCAGCCGAUCUCGAGAGACUUCCGUCUCGCCCGAGGCCCCCUUUUUAUGGCGGACACAUCACCGGCUCGCCCAAGGCCUUGGCUUCGCUCAGAAGCAACCUUGACUAAAUCACCACACCGACUGACCAAAUUGCAGGGGCAUUUAACGCACAGGAGGCCUGACACCUCUAUCCUGACACGCGCCUCCGGCAGAGCCGAGGUGACCGCCGUCACUCCACCGCUCCACUGGCCAGUCUGACAGAAGGACAGCGCCGCCUGCGCCACUCCGACUGCAGCGCCACUCGACAGAGUAAGUCUGACAGUCAGUCAGGCCUCGCCAAAGGCGCCACGGCGAACUCCGCCCCGCCCGACCCCAGGGCUCGGACUCGGGCUAAGACCCGGAAGACGGCGAACUCCGCUCCGCCCGACCCCAGGGCUCGGACUCGGGCUAAGACCCGGAAGACGGCGAACUCCGCUCCGCCCGACCCCAGGGCUCGGACUCGGGCUAAGACCCGGAAGACGGCGAACUCCGCUCCGCCCGACCCCAGGGCUCGGACUCGGGCUAGGACCCGGAAGACGGCGAACUCCGCUCCGCCCGACCCCAGGGCUCGGACUCGGGCUAAGACCCGGAAGACGGCGAACUCCGCUCCGCCCGACCCCAGGGCUCGGACUCGGGCUAAGACCCGGAAGACGACGAAACUCCGCCUCGCCCGACCCCAGGGCUCAGACUCCGCCCUGGCCUCGGCCGAACGACUUCCGCCUCGACCGACCCCUUGGCUCGGGCUCGGCCACGGCAACAGAAGGCAGACUCAACCUCGGCUUCGGAGGAAACCCUACGUCGCCCUGCCUAGGGCACAGACCUCCACGUCAACAAGAGGCGCCAUCAUCAUCCCACCCCGAAUCGACUCGGGUCACGGAGAACAAGACCGGCGUCUCAUCCGGCCAGCUCCGCCAGAGAGGCAAUGAUGGCGCUCCACAAGCUCUAUGACGACGGCGGCCCCUAGCUCUCUUACGGAAGCAGGACAACGUCAGCAGGGACUCGACCGCUCCAACAGCUGUCCCUCCAUCAGGCUCCGCCGCACCUCCAACAGCCACGACAUCACGCCAGCAGGGUGCCCAGAUCUCUCCGGCUGCCACAUUGGCAUGUACCUAGGGCGCUAGCUCUUCCUCCGCUAGACACGUAGCACUCUGCUACAUCCCCAUUGUACACCUGGAUCCUCUCCUUACGACUAUAAAAGGAAGGACCAGGGCCUUCUCAGAGAAGGUUGGCCGCGCGGGACCGAGGACGGGACAGGCGCUCUCUUGGGGCCGCUCGCUUCCCUCACCCGCGUGGACGCUUGUAACCCCCCUACUGCAAGCGCACCUGACCUGGGCGCGGGACGAACACGAAGGCCGCGGGACUUCCACCUCUCUCACGCUCGGCUCCGGCCGCCUCGCCUCUCCCCCUUCGCGCUCGCCCACGCGCUCGACCCAUCUGGGCUGGGGCACGCAGCACACUCACUCGUCGGCUUAGGGACCCCCUGUCUCGAAACGCCGACAGUUGGCGCGCCAGGUAGGGGGCAUGCUGCGUGCUGACGAACAGCUCCCCGUCAAGCUCCAGAUGGGCAGUCUCCAGCAACCUCUCCGGCCCGGGACGGUGCUUCGUUUCGGGACUCUUGAGUUCAUGUCCUUCGACGGCAGCUACGACAUGACACUUCUUCCACCGCCGCGCGACUACGACAAUGGCGGCCGACAACCCGCCCGCCGGCGGCGGAAUCGACGACGUCUACCCCGCGUGGUGGAAGAGCAACAUUCGGGCUCGCUCCGUUCUCUCCCCCGCCAACGGAGGAGGAGGCGGGGCCGUCAAGGCCAGACGGGAGGCCACGCUUCGCCGGCCGUCGAGCGAAUCGACGCCCCCGACGCCCCGACGGAAGGCACGCCGGACGUCGACCUCGCGUUCGAGACGGAGGCAAGCGCCGUCCCCCCACGGCACGCUGACCCCGAGCAAGAAGACGACGCCGGCGCGCUCGCGGAAAGCCUGCAGGACGUCGCCCUCGAACCAGAGAUGACGGUGCAACCAGUCCCCGAUGUGACUACGUCGCUCCACGUCGACCAAAAGGUAACGACUAACUCCCAUCUUGCGUCAUUUCGACUCGGCCUCAACCCGCCAAACGACCUCGUUUUGGCGGGCGCUCUCAUUGAGGCGAGUGCAACCCCACUGAGGUUCUGUAUGCGGUCGCCUUGGGACCGACUGACGGACGUCUCGACCUACGGGCCCUCCGGGUCCGAGGAAGAUGACGAUCCCAGCAUCGGUUGGGAUUUCUCCGGACAUGGCAACCCCAGUGCCAUGCGGGACUUCAUGACCGCAUGUGACUACGGUCUAUCCGACCGUUCCGACGGAAGCCGCAGCCUCGGUGACGAGAGCUGCGGCCCAAGCCGCGAAUGUUUCCACAUCGAGCUAGGGGAUCCCACCGAAGGCAACCAUCUUGGCAUGCCGGAGGAUGGUGAUCUCCCUAGGCCGGUGCCUCGCGCCGACAUCCCACGGGAGCUAGCUGUGGUCCCCGCUCCGGCGGGGGGUUACGACCCACAACUCGAGCAAGUCCGCGAGGCGCAGGCCGGGCUCAACGAGGGAACAGGGGCGCUUGAACCGAUCCGUCGGGACGCCGGACAGGCAUGGGUGGGCCAACCCCUGGCCGUAGAAAUACGUCAUCUGCCCCAAGGUCUCCAGCACCGCGUCGCCAACGACGUCAGGAUCAGGCCGCCGCCCGCAUCCAGCGGGGUCGGUCAGAACCUGGCGACCGCAGCGAUGCUCAUCCGCGCGAUGCCGGAGCCGUCAACCACCGAGGGGCGGCGAAUACAGGGAGAACUCAAGAAUCUCCUGGAAGGCGCUGCGGCCCGGCGGGCCGAGAGCACUGCAUCCCGGAGGCAAGGAUAUCCCUCGGAACCUCAUGCCGCGACUUCCCGAUUCAUGCGGGAGGCCUCGGUCUACACCGGGCGCACGCGCAACACCGCGCCUGCGGCCCCGGGCCACCUCGGCAACGAGCACCAUCGACGCGACCGUCGGGCUCACCUCGACGAAAGGGUGCGCCGAGGCUACCACCCCAGGCGUGGGGGGCGCUACGACAGCGGGGAGGAUCGGAGUCCUUCGCCCGAACCACCCGGUCCGCAGGCCUUCAGUCGGGCCAUCCGACGGGCGCCAUUCCCGACCCGGUUCCGACCCCCGACUACUAUCACAAAGUACUCGGGGGAAACGAGACCGGAACUGUGGCUCGCGGACUACCGCCUUGCCUGCCAACUGGGCGGAACGGACGACGACAACCUCGACAUCCGCAACCUCCCCCUGUUCCUCUCCGACACUGCUCGCGCCUGGUUGGAGCACCUGCCUCCGGGGCAGAUUUCCAACUGGGACGACUUGGUCCAAGCCUUCGCUGGCAAUUUCCAGGGCACAUACGUGCGCCCUGGGAACUCCUGGGACCUUCGAAGCUGCCGGCAACAGCCGGGGGAGUCGCUCCGGGACUACAUCCGGCGAUUCUCGAAGCAGCGCACUGAGCUGCCCAACAUCACCGACUCGGAUGUCAUCGGCGCGUUCCUCGCCGGCACCACUUGCCGCGACCUGGUGAGCAAGCUGGGUCGCAAAACCCCCACCAGGGCGAGCGAGCUGAUGGACAUCGCCACCAAGUUCGCCUCCGGCCAGGAGGCGGUCGAGGCUAUCUUCCGAAAGGACAAGCAGCCCCAGGGCCGCCCGUCGGAAGAAGCUCCCGAGACGUCUGCUCCGCGCGGCGCCAAGAAGAAAGGCAAGAAGAAGUCGCAAUCGAAACGCGACGCCGCAGACGCGGACCUUGUCGCCGCCGCCGAGUAUAAGAACCCUCGGAAGCCCCCCGGAGGUGCAAACCUCUUCGACAAGAUGCUCAAGGAGCCGUGCCCCUACCAUCAGGGGCCCGUCAAGCACACCCUCGAGGAGUGCGUUAUGCUUCGGCGUCAUUUCCACAGGGCCGGGCCACCCGCCGAGGGUGGCAGGGCCCACGACGACGACAAGAACGAAGAACACCCAGCAGGGGGGUUCCCCGAGGUCCGCGACUGCUUCAUGAUCUAUGGAGGGCAUGCGGCGAAUACCUCGGCUCGGCACCGCAAGCAAGAGCGCCGGGAGGUCUGCUCGGUGAAGGUGGCGGGGCCAGUCUACCUAGACUGGUCCGACAAGCCCAUCACUUUCGACCGGGCCGACCACCCCGACCAUGUGCCGAGCCCGGGGAAAUACCCGCUCGUCGUCGACCCCGUUGUCGGCGAUGUCAGGCUCACCAAGGUCCUGAUGGACGGGGGCAGCUGCCUCAACAUCAUCUACGGCGAGACCCUCAAGCUUCUGCGCGUCGAUCCGUCCUCCGUCCGAGCAGGCGCUGCGCCCUUCCACGGGAUUAUCCCUGGGAAGCGCGUCCAGCCCCUCGGGCGACUCGACCUCCCAGUCUGCUUCGGGACACCCUCCAACUUCCGAAGGGAGACCCUGACGUUCGAAGUGGUCGGGUUCCGAGGAACCUACCACGCCGUGCUAGGGAGGCCAUGCUACGCGAAGUUCAUGGCCGUCCCCAACUACACCUACCUGAAGCUCAAGAUGUCGGGCCCCAACGGGGUCAUCACCGUCGGCCCCACGUACAAACACGCGUUCGAAUGCGACGUGGAGUGCGUGGAGUACGCCGAGGCCCUCGCCGAGUCCGAGGCCCUCAUCGCCGACCUGGAGAACCUCUCCAAGGAGGUCCCAGACGUGAAGCGCCAUGCCGGCAACUUCGAGCCAGCGGAGACGGUCAAGGCCGUCCCCCUAGACCCCAGCGGCGACACCACCAAGCAGAUCCGGAUCGGUUCCGGGCUCGACCCCAAAUAGGAAGCAGUGCUCGUCGACUUUCUCCGCGCAAACGCCGACGUCUUUGCGUGGAGUCCCUCGGACAUGCCCGGCAUACCGAGGGAUGUUGCCGAGCACUCGCUGGAUAUUCGGGCCGGAGCCCGACCCGUCAGGCAGCCUCUGCGCCGAUUCGACGAGGAGAAGCGCAGAGCGAUUGGCGAAGAGAUCCACAAGCUAAUGGCGGCAGGGUUCAUCAAAGAGGUAUUCCAUCCCGAAUGGCUUGCCAACCCUGUGCUUGUGAGGAAGAAAGGGGGGAAAUGGCGGAUGUGUGUAGACUACACUGGUCUCAACAAAGCAUGUCCGAAGGUUCCCUACCCUCUGCCUCGCAUCGACCAAAUCGUGGAUUCCACUGCUGGGUGCGAAACCCUGUCCUUCCUCGAUGCCUACUCGGGGUAUCACCAGAUCCGGAUGAAAGAGUCCGACCAGCUCGUGACUUCUUUCAUCACGCCGUUCGGCAUGUACUGCUACGUCACCAUGCCGUUCGGCCUGAGGAAUGCAGGCGCGACGUACCAGCGGUGCAUGAACCAUGUGUUCGGCGAACACAUCGGUCGCACAGUCGAGGCCUACGUCGAUGACAUCGUGGUCAAGACACGGAAGGCUCCCAACCUCCUCUCCGACCUUGAAGUGACAUUCCGGUGUCUCAAGGCGAAAGGAGUCAAGCUUAAUCCUGAGAAGUGUGUCUUCGGGGUGCCCCGAGGCAUGCUCCUAGGGUUCAUCGUCUCUGAGCGAGGCAUCGAGGCCAACCCGGAGAAGAUUGCGGCCAUCACCAGCAUGGGGCCCAUCAAGGACUUAAAAGGGGUACAGAGGGUCAUGGGAUGCCUCGCGGCCCUGAGCCGCUUCAUCUCACGCCUCGGCGAAAGAGGUCUGCCUCUGUACCGCCUCUUAAGGAAGGCCGAGUGUUUCGUUUGGACCCCUGAGGCCGAGGAAGCCCUCGGCAACCUGAAGGCGCUCCUUACAAAGGCGCCAGCCUUGGUGCCGCCGGCGGACGGAGAAACCCUCUUGGUCUACGUCGCCGCGACCACUCAGGUGGUUAGCGCCGCGAUUGUGGUCGAAAGGCAGGAGGAAGGGCAUACAUUGCCCGUUCAGAGGCCGGUCUACUUCAUCAGCGAAGUGCUGUCCGAGACUAAGAUCCGCUACCCACAAGUUCAAAAGCUGCUGUAUGCUGUGAUCCUGACAAGGCGGAAGCUACGACACUACUUCGAGUCCCAUCCGGUAACUGUGGUGUCAUCCUUCCCCCUGGGGGAGAUCAUCCAAUGCCGAGAGGCCUCGGGCAGGAUCGCAAAGUGGGCAGUGGAGAUCAUGGGCGAAACGAUCUCGUUCGCCCCUCGGAAGGCCAUCAAGUCCCAAGUGUUGGCGGAUUUCGUGGCUGAAUGGGUCGACACCCAACUACCAACGACUCCGAUCCAACCGGAGCUCUGGACCAUGUUUUUCGACGGGUCGCUGAUGAAGACGGGGGCCGGUGCGGGCCUUCUCUUCAUCUCGCCCCUCGGAAAGCACUUGCGCUACGUGCUGCGCCUCCACUUCCCGGCGUCCAACAAUGUGGCCGAGUACGAAGCUCUGGUCAACGGAUUGCGGAUCGCCAUCGAGCUAGGGGUCAGACGCCUCGACGCCCGCGGUGAUUCGCGGCUCAUCAUCGACCAAGUCAUGAAGAACUCCCACUGCCGCGACCCGAAGAUGGAGGCCUACUGCGACGAGGUUCGGCGCCUGGAAGACAAGUUCUUCGGGCUCGAGCUCAACCACAUCGCUCGGCGCUACAACGAAACCGCAGACGAGCUGGCCAAGAUAGCCUCGGGGCGAACGACAGUCCCCCCGGACGUCUUCUCCCGGGAUCUGCAUCAACCCUCCGUCAAGCUCGACGACACGCCCGAGCCUGAGGUACCCUCGGCUCAGCCCGAGGUACCCUCGGCUCAGCCUGAGGUAUCCUCGGCUCAGCCCAAGGUACCCUCGGCUCAGCCCGAGGUACCCUCGGCCCCCGAGGGCGGGGCGUUGAAUGUCGAGGAAGGGCAGAGCGGGGCCACGCCAGACCAAGAUUGGCAGGCCCCAUACCUGCAAUAUCUCCAUCGAGGAGAGCUACCCCUCGACCAUGUCGAGGCUCGGCGGGUAGCGCGACGCGCCAAGUCAUUCGUCUUGCUGGGCGACGAAGAGGAACUCUACCAUCGCAGCCCCUCGGGCAUCCUCCAGCGAUGCAUCCCCAUCGCCGAAGGUCGGGAACUGCUGCAAGAAGUACACUCGGGGGCUUGCGGCCACCACGCAGCACCCCGAGCCCUUGUUGGAAAUGCCUUCCGGCAAGGCUUCUACUGGCCAACGGCGGUGGCUGACGCCACUAGAAUUGUCCGCACCUGCGAAGGGUGCCAAUUCUAUGCGAAGCGGACACACCUGCCCGCUCAGGCUCUGCAGACAAUACCCAUCACCUGGCCCUUCGCUGUAUGGGGUCUGGACCUCGUCGGUCCCUUGCAGAAGGCGCCCGGGGGCUACACGCACCUGCUGGUCGCCAUCGACAAAUUCUCCAAGUGGAUCGAGGUCCGACCCCUGAACAGCAUCAGGUCCGAGUAGGCGGUGGCAUUCUUCACCAACAUCAUCCAUCGCUUCGGGGUCCCGAACUCCAUCAUCACCGACAACGGCACCCAGUUCACCGGCAAAAAAUUCUUGGAUUUUUGCGAAGAUCACCAUAUCCGGGUGGACUGGGCCGCCGUGGCUCAUCCCAUGUCGAAUGGGCAGGUAGAGCGUGCCAACGGCAUGAUUCUACAAGGGCUCAAGCCUCGGAUCUACAACGACCUCAACAAGUUCGGCAGGCGAUGGAUGAAGGAACUCCCCUCGGUGGUCUGGAGCCUAAGGACGACGCCGAGUCGUGCCACGGGCUUCACGCCGUUUUUCCUGGUCUACGGGGCUGAAGCUAUCUUGCCCACUGACCUGGAAUACGGCUCCCCAAGGGCGAGGGCCUACACCGAACAAAGCAACCAAGCCAGCCGAGAGGAAUCGCUGGACCAGUUGGAGGAAGCUCGGGACAGGGCCUUACUACACUCGGCGCGGUACCAACAGUCCCUGCGACGCUACCACGCCCGAGGGGUCCGGUCCCGAGAACUCCAGGUGGGCGACCUGGUGCUUCGGCUGCGACAAGACGCCCGAGGGAGGCACAAGCUCACGCCCCCCUGGGAAGGGCCAUUCGUCAUCGCCAAAGUUCUGAAGCCCGGAACAUACAAGCUGGCCAGCAAUCAAGGCGAGAUCUACAGCAACGCUUGGAACAUCAAACAGCUACGUCGCUUCUAUCCUUAAGAUGUUUUCAAGUUGUUCAUAUACCUCGCACCUACGCAAAGUUUAGUUGUCAAGGAAGGGUCGGCCUAGCCUCGGCAAAACCCGACCCUCCCUCGGGGGCUAAAAGGGGGGGACCCCCUCUGCGUCGAAUUUUUCCUCGAAAAAGGAUCUCUUUUUAGCAGGAUUUCUUUCGUGCUUCUUGACUACUUUGGAAAGCGGAUCCUGGAAACGACGAGGUACACGUAAGCAGCCAAGGCUGACCGAGCCGAGGGACUCCUACGCCUCCGGGAUACGGAUACCUCACUCGUCCCCUUCUGCGAUAAGUAACUUGCGCUCGGAUAAAGCGACUCCGUGGACCGAACGAGUCAUCACGUUCGGAAGCUCUCCUGCCGAAGCAGUCCUUCAAGCUUUCUCGACUAAGUCGGGGACAGGGCCUCAUGGACGGGUGAAAGUACGCGUAAGCGGCAAGGCCGACCAAGCCGAGGGAUUCCCACGCCUCUGGGAUACGGAUACCUCACUCGUCCCUUCCGCGAAAAGCAGCUCUUGCUCACACAAACAUCCCUGUUACCGACGAAGUCCAGAUGCUCGAAACAGGAGGAAAAAAGGCGCAGCUUCGCAAGUGCAGCGAGGGUGUUUUCUUCUGGCCUCGGCGGCCGCAGGAAGCACACGCUACAAGAUGAUCGGAUCCUGCAGGCUCGGGUCUUCACGCCGAAGGGAGCUGUAGCACCCUCGGCAUCGACGAUGUCUUCAGCAAAGCCCGACCCAGCCUCGGGCGGCGCCGCAGUCCAGGGGGUCCUCCGGGAAUCCGGCCCGAGCAGGCGGCUCAACCGGUUACCCCUGGGGCCUCGGUCAACCGGCUCCCAAGGGCGCCAGCCCGAUCCGAGGCCUCGACUGAUCGACUUUGGCGUCGGCCCCGCUGACGGACAACACGGCUAGGCUCCGGCCAACCAGGUUCCCAUUCUCGAGCCAACUCCGCCUCUGUUCAUACUGAUAUCGCUAUCCCCGGCCUCGAUCCACCGAAGGGCGACCGAGGGGUCUCUUCAACUAAGCUAGAGGAGCCUCACAUAACAAGGCCGAACGGGUCGAGGGAUUCCUACGCCUCCGGGAUACGGAUACCUCACCCGUCACCUUGACACGGGGCAACUCAUGCUUGGUAAAGCGGUUCAGAUAAUCAAACAGGCGAGACCUAGUGCUCGAAAAUGAGGAAAAAACACGGCUCCGUGCCAAAAUUACAUACACGUUCAGGCCUCGACAGCCACAAUGAACGAACUCACUGGCAUUCGAAGUGCCAUUACAAACGGAACUCCGGUUCCCCCUCCGCAGGUACGAACAACCCCACUCCGAGGGGGAAGGCCUGCGGAGCAACGGAAGGCCAACGAACGGCGCGCCGUCACCUACUCCAGCAGUGGCGACGACGGCGACUUCUGCUCCGGGGGGCCGAACAGCGGCAACGCUGACCUCAGGGUGGAUGCCGCUGCCAGGAGGCCCCCGCCCGUGCCAAAACUCGUGAGGCAAGGACGGGCAGAAGGCCGUAGAAGUUGGAGGUCAGCCCGUGGCCGGUCCCGGCCGCCGCGCCGGCGGAAGAACCUCUUCCGGCUGCCGUGGCAGACGCCGACGCCGCAAGUGGCCCCGAAGCCACUCGCGGCUGAAGACCAGGCACGCUGCAGCUGCCGGACGCCACGGGCAAUGCCCGCUUCUCCCCCCAUCACUGAGUGAAGGAGCGGGCCACCGCCCACGCAGGGGCCGACCCCAACUCGGCACUCUCCCCUCCCCGGCCUUGGUGAUGAAAAUCCUUGAGGCUGAGGAAGGGGCAGAGGCCGCAGCCCGGCUCGCUUUCCCCCACCAUCAAGCUGGAGGUCGCCAUCUCGGGUGACCGCCGGUGAAGGGGUGCGACCGGGCUGCGUGAUGAAAAUCCUUGAAGCCGAACGAUGGCUGAGAGGUACCAGCUCCCAUGGAGUUGCGUUCCUCCAACGAGGAGGCGGAAAGGCGGCGGAUACCCCCCAUCCGGGGGCUUGGAAGACGGGAAGACCCGACGCUUAAGGGAGGAAGAAGACAUGGUUGCCUUACGAAGGGAGCCUCCCUCCUUUUAAAGGCAACUCCCCCUACGUGCGCCCCCAAGCGCCGCGGACCGAGUCUUCUCCAACACGCUCCAAGGCCCUCCCCUGCGACUCGGGGGCUGGGUCCCGCAUGUCAUGCAAGCCGGCUCAGGGCAGAAGAAGCCAAACCGCCGCGCAUGGUGCGCACGACCGUCCAGCGGUUACAGGCGACCCCCCAUUUUCGCCCAGACCAACGGGCGGAAGGGGCGGGCAGCCAUGCAGGCGGCAUGCAACCGCGCCAGAUGGACGCGCUUCUCCGACUUCCGACACGCCAGCCUGGAACCCAGGCCCACGCGUCGAGCAACCGGCACGCCAGUUGCUGCAUGCAAGCAACCGCACCGCCACUUGUGCCACCAUCGCGCCUCUUCGGUUGCGAAGCCUGUGCCACGACUCGAGGCGACCCAACAGCGCCAGACUGGCGCGUCGGUCAAAGCGACCGAAAGUGGGCCAGCAGUAAUAGCGGUGGCAGGCGGGCGGGCACAGCAGUCACGUCGUCAGCCAGGCUCACGUCCCAUCCUGAGACAGCAAGGGAGCCUCCUCUCACGGCGUGAAGACGGUGCACCCGUGACCCAUUCCUCGAACGGAUCGCACGCGCGCAACGGCCGCCCCGCCAACCACUCACCCCGUCGCAUUAACUCCGCGGCGAGACACGCGGCGCUUCUGGCAGGAGGAGCGCGCGACGCUUCACCUUCGCCGUAAUAACCGCGUCAGAAAAGGUACGCCACGUCGUCCGAUUUCGUAUCCUUUUCCGUUUUCCUCUUUCUCUAUCUCUUGCAACAGGGACCGGGAAAGGGGGAUACCCCGAAAGGGAUCCUUCUCCACGAAGGAACCGGGCUCCGAGCCCCCCAUUACUGAUCAGGGGUUCGAAGGCUGGCCCCCGAGGGUUCAACAGUCGCCUCAGAUCGCGUGGGCCCGACACCCACUACUGGUCAGGGGUUCGAAGGCCAGCCCCCCGAAGGGCUUCAUGGCCGCCUCAGGCUACUCGGGCUCCGCGCCCAUUACUGAUCAGGGGUUCGAAGGCUGGCCCCCGAAGGGUUCACAGUCGCCUCAGACACCGAGCGAGGGAUGACCAGGGGUACGUUCGAUACAUAACCGAGGCUCGGGCUGCGCUCCCAAGGUACCCUAGGACAUUUCCGAGACCAGUGGGAACGAUCUUGUAACGGAAUCCCAUCGGAGGGAGGCAUCGAGCCCUCGGACCCCGUCGCCAGGGGACCGGGUCCGGCAAAUCACCCGCAGGUACUUUUGGGCGUGCCUCUGGGCCCCUAGCCGACCCCCAACGAAUGGGGCACGGACGUCCACUCGGAUUACCCGCUUGCAGCUCACCGGAGACACCAUGUUCGGUGCCCAUCGAGGGUAACAUGGCGCACUCCCCCCUCCUCCUUGCGGAAAGGCGACGUAGGGGCGUAUGUAAAAAGCCGAGUCUGUCCCUGAUCGUCCUCUCGCCCUGUGCAGAGGCUCGGGGGCUGCUCUCGCAAAAACCGGCUCCGGCCAAAUCGUUGACAGCGUCAACAUACCAGCCCGAGAGUUUGGGCCCCGACCGUGCACCCGGGCUACGGCCAGUUCGCAUGAGGGAACGACCAGACCAGCCAAAGUAUUAAGACCUCGAAGGAGUGUAACCACUCCUCCGAGGCCUCGGGGGCUACACCCGGCGGGUGCGCUCGCGCGCACCCACCGGAACGAAAUGCAACCGAGAAAGGCUGGUCCCCUUGCGAAAAAGUGUGACAAAAGCCUCCAAGCGAGUGCUAACACUCCCUUCGAGGCUCGGGGGCUACUGUCGGGGACCAUAAUUAGGGGUACCCUCAAGACGCCUAAUUCUCAGCUGGUAACCCCCAUCAGCAUAAAGCUGCAAAGGCCUGAUGGGCAUGAUUAAGUCAGGGAUCAGUCCACACGAGUGACUCGAUCACGCUUCACCCGAGCCUAGCCUCGGCCGAAGGCAGCCGACCUCGAGAGACUUCCGUCUCGCCCGAGGCCCCCUUUUUAUGGCGGACACAUCACCGGCUCGCCCAAGGCCUUGGCUUCGCUCAGAAGCAACCUUGACUAAAUCACCACACCGACUGACCAAAUUGCAGGGGCAUUUAACGCACAGGAGGCCUGACACCUCUAUCCUGACACGCGCCUCCGGCAGAGCCGAGGUGACCGCCGUCACUCCACCGCUCCACUGGCCAGUCUGACAGAAGGACAGCGCCGCCUGCGCCACUCCGACUGCAGCGCCACUCGACAGAGUAAGUCUGACAGUCAGUCAGGCCUCGCCAAAGGCACCACGGCGAACUCCGCCCCGCCCGACCCCAGGGCUCGGACUCGGGCUAAGACCCGGAAGACGGCGAACUCCGCUCCGCCCGACCCCAGGGCUCGGACUCGGGCUAAGACCCGGAAGACGGCGAACUCCGCUCCGCCCGACCCCAGGGCUCGGACUCGGGCUAAGACCCAGAAGACGGCGAACUCCGCUCCGCCCGACCCCAGGGCUCGGACUCGGGCUAGGACCCGGAAGACGGCGAACUCCGCUCCGCCCGACCCCAGGGCUCGGACUCGGGCUAAGACCCGGAAGACGGCGAACUCCGCUCCGCCCGACCCCAGGGCUCGGACUCGGGCUAAGACCCGGAAGACGACGAAACUCCGCCUCGCCCGACCCCAGGGCUCGGACUCCGCCCUGGCCUCGGCCGAACGACUUCCGCCUCGACCGACCCCUUGGCUCGGGCUCGGCCACGGCAACAGAAGGCAGACUCAACCUCGGCUUCGGAGGAAACCCCACGUCGCCCUGCCUAGGGCACAGACCGCCACGUCAACAAGAGGCGCCAUCAUCAUCCCACCCCGAAUCGACUCGGGUCACGGAGAACAAGACCGGCGUCUCAUCCGGCCAGCUCCGCCAGAGAGGCAAUGAUGGCGCUCCACAAGCUCUAUGACGACGGCGGCCCCUAGCUCUCUUACGGAAGCAGGACAACGUCAGCAGGGACUCGACCGCUCCAACAGCUGUCCCUCCAUUAGGCUCCGCCGCACCUCCAACAGCCACGACAUCACGCCAGCAGGGUGCCCAGAUCUCUCCGGCUGCCACAUUGGCAUGUACCUAGGGCGCUAGCUCUCCCUCCACUAGACACGUAGCACUCUGCUACAUCCCCAUUGUACACCUGGAUCCUCUCCUUACGACUAUAAAAGGAAGGACCAGGGCCUUCUCAGAGAAGGUUGGCCGCGCGGGACCGAGGACGGGACAGGCGCUCUCUUGGGGCCGCUCGCUUCCCUCACCCGCGUGGACGCUUGUAACCCCCCUACUGCAAGCGCACCUGACCUGGGCGCGGGACGAACACGAAGGCCGCGGGACUUCCACCUCUCUCACGCUCGGCUCCGGCCGCCUCGCCUCUCCCCCCUUCGCGCUCGCCCACUCGCUCGACCCAUCUGGGCUGGGGCACGCAGCACACUCACUCGUCGGCUUAGGGACCCCCCUGUCUCGAAACGCCGACAAUAUCUUAUGCCAUUUUAAAACUAUCUUGUGUUUUAUUAGAGUAUUGUGUGACCUAAAUCUUGUCAUUGUUGGACUAUUAUAUGAUCUUAUGUUGUUGUUAUAUUGUCAUAUUAAUCUAUGGUCUAUGCAAUGCUCGUGCGUAACUGUAUUACGUCCAUCAUCACCUCCUCAAACUUCACAUGCUGCUCCUCAUCCUCUUUCUGACCCUCCUUCUCCUCAUCCUCAUGGUGGCCCACCGUCUCCGCCACAUACAUCGCCCUUCAGGGAUCCACCUUCUCCACAGCCAUCUCCACGACCAUCAAAGAAAUCUAAAGUUUCUAUACCAAAAGUAGUGUCCCCGUUUGAUAAGAAAAAGAAGAGUAAAUCCACUGCUGGCACUGUUCGUUUUUUGAAAGGGAUUGGACGGAGCCUCACGUCAGACACUGUUGAUUUGGCCGAUCUCGAGGAGUCCGCAAAAAAGGCUGAGGCAAUGGCCGCAAAGAUAAAGAUGCCAACUAAGGCAGAUUAUAAAAACGUGCCUAAAAAUAUGUGUCGGGCAGACCACUACUCACUUUUGAGAAACUAAGGAAGGUCCCGGCUAAUAUUAAAAGGUUGCAUGAUUGGUACAUGCGGGCAUCUUCAGUUGGCAUCGACACCAUCAGUGUUAAUAUACCAGCCCAUGCUUUUAUUGGUUCAAAUCAAAAGGCCGUUGUUACAUUCGAGGAUAUGUGGUUAAUGAUGAACCUUCAGAGACUCGACGUGCAACUUGUAACCAUAUUUGCAUUGUAAGUGUCACUCAUACUCCACAUAUAUGUGUUAUUAUUAGUGAGUUGUAUAAAUUUUCAAUAUCUGACAUGCACGUGUGCGUUGCAGAAUGCAACAUGAUCAGCAGGAGAUCCUUUAUGGUACCAAUCCCAAUGCUAGUGCCAGUAAAAGGGUUGGGUAUCUCAACCCAAUAAAGAUAUGCGAGGAUAACCACACUUUUAGAAUCGGAAAAGGCAACGAAACAUUACAGGGGCUAACAGACGAAGAAAUUGAGGUGCGUAUCCAGGAUCUGAAGAAGGAUUUUGAAGCAAGAUACGCCACCUACAUAGGACACGCAAUGCUUCAAUUUCAAGACAGGGAAUCCAUAGUGGCCCCGUACAACUUUAAGUAAGUGUGAUUUUGCAUAAAUAAAAUUAAUAAUUUUAAUACACAUGUAUCACAAGUUUGAUUCGUACAGGGACCACUGGAUAUGCUUCUUCAUUUAUCCUAAGGUUGGAAAGGUGCUGGUGCUCGACUCCUUGCACACCGAGCCUUCGGCCUAUUCAAAAUUCCUCAGCAUCUUAGAGUUGUAAGCCUUUUCUAUGCAUGCAUACUUAUAUCGAUGAGAAUUGUAGAAUAACAUGGUGAUUCUAUUUGAGAUCACAGGGCAUUUAGGUUUUAUAAGCUACAUGGUGGAAAGUACGACACGUCCAAAAAAGGCGUGCCACUAGACAUCCAUUAUAACUGGCCAGUAAGUAUGUGAAUUUAUGAAUACAUAUCAUACAUGUACGUACAUAGGACAAUGUUGCAACUAAAUAACCAAUCUCCCGUUAUGUAGUGCCACAAGCAACCACCCGGAUCGGUCCUAUGUGGGUUCUACGUGUGCGAGUUUAUGAGAAUGAAUGGACGAUACAUCACGAACCCUGGCAAGGUAUUAUUAGUAAUAGUCACGUAUGUAUUUAUGUCAUUAAAGAUGCAAAUGUGUUAUUAUUGAGUAUAAAUAGAUGAUGUUUAUAAACUUCCUUUACAGCAAUUUCAAAAAGGAAGCCCGGAGAACUUGACUGAAGGUGCAUUGUAUGGCAUAGUUGAGGACCUGUGCACAUUCAUAUUGAAAGAGGUCAUUCCCGCAGAAGGGAAAUAUCACGAUGCUUCCGGAACAUUAGCUUUGCCAGAGUUUAGAAUACUAACAGAAAUUAGUAGACUAUCUCUUAGCCGAGAUAGUUAUUAGAGCUUAAGUGAAAACUUUGAUGUAUAUAAUGUGUGAUGCAUACAUGGUUGUAAACAAGACUUUGAUGUAUAUAAAUGUAUGAUAGAAUUUAAUUUCAUGUUGCUUUUAGUAUCAAUACUACAUGUUUAUCAAUAUCAAUAUAUAUAUAUAUAUAUAUAUAUAUAUAUGUUUGUGUGUGUAAAUAUAUAAAUUUCAGUACGAAAAUUUAAAAAAAGACGGGAAACAUUUCCACUGGCGGCUAAAUAAAACAAACCGCUGGCGGUUUUCUUAAUAAAACCGCCAGUGAAAAUAGCAUUUUCACUGGCGGUUGCUUAAGAAAACCGCCAGUGGAAAUGCUUUUUCCACUGGCGGUUAUUGAAUGGAAAUGGCGAUUUCCACUGGCCCCUAACACUGGCGGCACUGAAAAGCGCCAGUGAAAAUGUCUCUAGAACCGCCACUAUAGAGGCUGUGUGUACUAGUGAUGUAAUCAGAGUAUCUUUUUCUUGGAGACAGACUAUGCAUUUCCAAGGAUGUAGCAAAUUUGUAGGAAAGUAAAUGAUAUGUAUAUUUAGUGGUCCAUAUAUCGAAACAUGCCCUCAUGAAAAAAAUGCCUCCAAAAAUGGCAUGUAUAUUUAACCUUUUGCUUGUUUUCCACUCUUUGGAAUUCGAUCAUGAACCCGAACAAAAGGAUUACAUAUACUAGAAUUUGGAAGUCUCAGUAGUAUAUAAGGUUAGCGGUGCAUGCUGCCAACUUAAUUAGCUUGCUGCUGAAGGUCCAUAGCCCGCUGUGCCGGAUGAAUCGAAGGGAAUUCAAAGUCUAGUAGAAUUGGACGUUGGAAGUGUAGACGGCAUCGGGUCUCCAGUUCGCCGGGAUGACGUCUUUGGCGAUGACCUUCUUGCCGGACUCGCUGGUGAGGCGGAUGGAGAAGGGGCCCUUGAGCGCCUUGGCAGUGUCCAUCCUCCAGAUGGCGCCCCAAGAGAGCUUCAUGGGCUUCCACUCAGCCGACAACUUGUCCUGGAUUUCCAUCAGCACGAUGUCGCCGUCGUCCGCCACAUACUUCACCAGCACGGCCAGGUAGUUGGGGUUGCAGCCCUUCUCGAUGUGGAACACGAUCUUCUGCCCGGCGGGGUACUUGCAUCGCACC